UGGGGAAUAUUGCGCAAUGGGGGAAACCCUGACGCAGCAACGCCGCGUGAAGGAUGAAGGUUUUCGGAUUGUAAACUUCUUUGAUGGGGGACGAAUAAAUGACGGUACCCCAAAAACAAGCCACGGCUAACUACGUGCCAGCAGCCGCGGUAAUACGUAGGUGGCGAGCGUUGUCCGGAAUUACUGGGUGUAAAGGGCGUGUAGGCGGGAUUGUAAGUCAGAUGUGAAAUUCCAGAGCUUAACUCUGGCGCUGCAUCUGAAACUGCGAUUCUUGAGUGCUGGAGAGGAUAGUGGAAUUCCUAGUGUAGCGGUGAAAUGCGUAGAUAUUAGGAGGAACACCAGUGGCGAAGGCGGCUAUCUGGACAGUAACUGACGCUGAGGCGCGAAAGCGUGGGGAGCAAACAGG
rnacentral:rRNA from 1 species